rnacentral:rRNA from 1 species
UACGGGGGGAGCAAGCGUUGUUCGGAUUUACUGGGCGUAAAGGGCGCGUAGGCGGCGCAACAAGUCACUUGUGAAAUCUCCGGGCUUAACCCGGAGCGGUCAAGUGAUACUGUCGUGCUAGAGUGCGGAAGGGGCUACUGGAAUUCUCGGUGUAGCGGUGAAAUGCGCAGAUAUCAGGAGGAACACCAAUUGCGAAGGCAGCUCGCUGGGACGUGACUGACGC